rnacentral:tRNA from 1 species
AAGAAUUUAAGUUAAAUAAACUAUUGACCUUCAAAGUCAAACAUAGAUUAGAUCUAAUUCUUA